rnacentral:rRNA from 1 species
UCCCAGCCGCCGCGGUAAUACAGAGGGUGCAAGCGUUAAUCGGAUUUACUGGGCGUAAAGCGCGUGUAGGCGGCUAAUUAAGUCAAAUGUGAAAUCCCCGAGCUUAACUUGGGAAUUGCAUUCGAUACUGGUUAGCUAGAGUGUGGGAGAGGAUGGUAGAAUUCCAGGUGUAGCGGUGAAAUGCGUAGAGAUCUGGAGGAAUACCGACGGCGAAGGCGGCCAUCUGGCCUAACACUGACGCUGAGGUGCGAAAGCAUGGGGAGCAAACAGGAUUAGAUACCCUGGUAGUCCAUGCCGUAAACGAUGUCUACUAGCCGUUGGGGCCUUUGAGGCUUUAGUGGCGCAGCUAACGCGAUAAGUAGACCGCCUGGGGAGUACGGUCGCAAGACUAAAACUCAAAUGAAUUGAGGGGGGCCCGCACAAGCGGUGGAGCAUGUGGUUUAAUUCGAUGCAACGCGAAGAACCUUACCUGGCCUUGACAUAGUAAGAACUUUCCAGAGAUGGAUUGGUGCCUUCGGGAACUUACAUACAGGUGCUGCAUGGCUGUCGUCAGCUCGUGUCGUGAGAUGUUGGGUUAAGUCCCGCAACGAGCGCAACCCUUUUCCUUAUUUGCCAGCGAGUAAUGUCGGGAACUUUAAGGAUACUGCCAGUGACAAACUGGAGGAAGGCGGGGACGACGUCAAGUCAUCAUGGCCCUUACGGCCAGGGCUACACACGUGCUACAAUGGUCGGUACAAAGGGUUGCUACCUAGCGAUAGGAUGCUAAUCUCAAAAAGCCGAUCGUAGUCCGGAUUGGAGUCUGCAACUCGACUCCAUGAAGUCGGAAUCGCUAGUAAUCGCGGAUCAGAAUGCCGCGGUGAAUACGUUCCCGGGCCUUGUACACACCGCCCGUCACACCAUGGGAGUUUGUUGCACCAGAAGUAGCUAGCCUAACUGCAAAGAGGGCGGUUACCACGGUGUGGCCGAUGACUGGGGUGAAGUCGUAACAAGGUAACCA